GGGGGAUCGUGAGCUGUCAACUUCCACCCCAAACGCCACUUUGCCUCCUGCAUUUAUAAUGGCGUUAAAUAUAUUUUAAAAAGUGGGGGAGGAUGGUCACAC